rnacentral:sRNA from 1 species
AUGGUCCUACCUGGGAAUUGUUCCACGUCGGCGGCACUAUGUAUGCAAUUCCUCACCCAACUAGCAAGUGUAGCAAUUGAUCAGGCUUAUCAGGUACGCAUUACAUUUUUUUGCUUCAAAAUUCAACUCAGCUCGAUUUCCAGCCACCCCAGCAGCCAGCCUACAACCCCCACGAAAAACUAUUUGUAUCAUAUCGAUCAGUUCCACCGCCAGGAUCAUCUCCAUCAUCGGCUGCAGUUCCGAUUCGAUUCAGCUCAUAUUCAAGUGUCGGCUCAAAUAUACGUGGUUUAAACUCUCCAACGUUACAUCCGGGUAGUAUCGAACCUCCGUUGACACCUGGCAAUUAUCGAUUAUAUAGUAUGCGGUUUUGUCCAUAUGCACAGAGAGUAUUGAUCUAUUUGGCCAAGAAGAAUAUUCCGUUAGUUUUUUGUUUUGUUAUAAAAUUUUAGAUGUAUUGAUUUUGAAUGUUUUCACGUGGCCUGGUUACAGUUUGAUCUAUCAAAAAUGCGGGAAUAAAUAAUCGUUAAAUAAUCGAUUUUUAGGUAAAUUUUAGAGUUUCGGCAAGUUUCUUUCCGAUUGCCAAGUUUUCUUACGGAAAAAAACGCCUGAAAAAUUGGCAAAUUGUGUUGAAAAUUAUAAAACCAAGAAAAAACACAAAAAAUGUCAUAAAUGACGUCACAGCCUUUUUUUUUGUUGAAAAAUUGAAAAAAAUUUAGAAAAGUUCUAUAAAUUAUUUCACAGUUUUUUUCGGUUUAUUAGGACGUUGUUUUAUUAUUUAAUACAAAAACCCACAGACGGUACCAGAGGUGGGCGGAUAUUUUUUUCGGAUAUUUUCUAAUAAUGAAUUUAUCAAUAAGUAUUGAUGUAGUUAUUCUGGAACAAAUGUAUCCGAACAAAAAAGUAACUAUUAAGCAACAUUUUAAUAUGAUAAAACCUAGAAAAAUUCUACAAGUUUUCUGUAUAAACAAUAUGCAAGUCCAUUAUCCGAUAUCCGUAAUAUCCGUAAUAUCCGAUAUCCGAUGUUGCUCGGCUAAUAAGUUUUAAGGUCUCGGUAAGGAAAACUUGUGGAAUUUCUCUAGGUUUUAUCAUAUUAAAAUGUUGCUUAAUAGUUACUCUUUGGUUCGGAUACAUUUCUUCCAGAAUAACUACAUCAAUACUUAUUGAUAAAUUCAUUAUUAGAAAAUAUCCGAAAAAUAUCCGCCCACCUCUGGACGGUACUUCUCCUUCAAAUUAAAUUUUUUUCCCAGAAAAGUGUAAUUUUCGACAAAAUUUUUUUGCAGUUUUGACAUUUUGGAAUUUUUGGAAUUAUGACAUUUUUGAAACUGUCAAAAAUCUCAGGAAACAUCUAGCAUUUUUCUAGAAAUUAAAAGAUAAAAUUGCAGAACGUUUGCCCACCUUUCACAUUUUAAAAAAUAUGAAAAGUUUGCAAAUAUCCAGUUUUGGAGCAACAUUUUUAUUCUAAUAUUUUUUUUUCACCAAAUCGACAUUUAGUUUUGUUAUAAAAGUCUCAAAGCAUUCCUAAAAUUCUAAAAAUUACCAAAUUUCAGAGUAGAAGUAGUAAAUGUAAAUCCGGAUAGAAGUCCCAAUUGGUACCUUCCCAAGUCACCAAUCGGAAGAGUUCCAGCACUUGAAAUUAAUGGAAAAGUUGUGUGGGAAUCGAAUGUCAUUGUUGAAUACCUUGAUGAACUAUUCCCAACUAACACUAUUUUGCCACGAGAUGCAUAUGAGAAAGCUCACCAGAAAAUUCUAGUGGAACGAUUGUCGCCGGUUAGUUUUUGAAACUUUGUUCCUCAAAAAUCUAUGGAAAUCCUAAUUUUCCGGUCGGAAAUGUUUUAAACACAUUUUUUUUUCUUAAAGUUUUGGAACGUUAUAUUUUCUUCUUUUAAAUUUGAUUAUUCACAUUGGAAAGUUUUUUUUCAAAAUUUCUACGAUUUUUUUCUUACAGUUUUUUGACACUUCACAAACUUUCCUAAAGUUUCCAGACAUUUUUCAACAAAUUUCAUGAUUUUUUAAAGUUUUAAGAACUUUCCAGAAGUUUCCACACGUUUAUUCAAACUUCUAAAAGUUUUCGAAGAUUUUUGGAAUUUUCCACAACUUUCUAAUACUUUUCUGAAGUUUAUUGAACGUUAUCUGAAAUUACUGUAGUCCUACAGUAUUCCUACAGUACGAAUACAAUAACAGGCGGAAAAAAUGUCCGGCAAAACGGAAAACUGCCGGAAUUGGAAAUUUCCCGCAAAUCGUGGUUUUGCCUUUUUUUGGAAUUUUUAGAAAAAAAAUUUUCCGGCAAACCGGCAAAUUGCCAGAAAUGAAAUUUCCGGCAAACCAGCAAAUUACCGGAAAUGAUAUUUUCUGGCAAAUCGGCAAACCGGCAAACGGCAAGUUUGCCGAACGGCAGUUGCCAACAAUCCCCUGCUACAAAGUACACCUUUUUUUCCUUAUAAAAAGUCCUUAUAAAAAUUUUUUGAAAUUUUUUUCUUGUUCUUACAUUUUGAUACUCUUAUUGUCGAUAUUUGGAAAAACUUCGAUGAAAAAAAACUGAAACUUUUUUUUUGAAAAACAAAGGAAAAUUCAACUUUGAUAGUGAGUUCGAAACAUUCGAUUUGUUUUUUUUUCUAUAUUUCCUAGUUUUCUAAAAGCUACCCAUUUCAGAUAAUGAACGCGUUAUUCGAAUUCUACGGUAGUUCCAAUAAUCCACAGGCUCAACGACAAAACGACAUGAAUGUUCACAGUGCGCUAAGGAAUUCGGAGAAUUUGCUCAGAGACACUUUUUACGGAGGUAAUUUUUGAAAAAUUGCCGAUUUGCCGAUCUGCCGGAAAUUUUCAAUUCCGACAGUUUUGGCCGGUUUGCCAAUAGCCGGAGUAAAUCGUUUUUCGUCCACCCCUAAUUCUAUCCACAGUUACAAGCCGGGAGUGCAUCAAAUAGCCACUAAAUUUUUUACAUUUCCAGGCCGUCAACCAGGAUACGCCGACUAUUUGAUGUGGCCAUUCUUGGAACGCCUCCAACUGCUCACAAUGUCUCCAAACUCACAAUUCCGAUAUUUCCCAGGACUUCAUUACCCGAAAAUUGGAGCAUAUAUUGCUAGAAUGCAGAAUCAGCCAGAGGUAUUAGGUUUUUGCAAACACGAUUUUUUUUUGAAAAAAACUGGGGAAAAAAUAUGGUGAAGUUCUGAAAAAUCUAAUUCCAGAUAAAAUUCUCAUCCCGCCCGCUGACCCAUCACAAAGCCUACCUGGAUAGUUUUUCAAUGGGUGUGCCGAAUUAUGAUUUUGGCAUUUAUGGGAAAAAUUGAACAAAAUUUGUAACGAACGUCGUAUUUAUAUAAUUAUAAUAAAGUAUUUUUUGAAAAAAAAAACUCUCGAUUUUUGGUUAACUAACUCUAAAUGUUUGCAUGAAUUUUCUAACAUUUUCCAAAAUGUUCAGACAAAGGCAAAACCAUAACGCGUAAAGGCGCCCCCUUUAAAGCUGUAGAAGUGGAAAAAACUGCACUGUACGUCAUUAAAAAAAAUUAUCGACUUUGAGAGUGGCCAUCUGGGUGUACUCCCAUUUUGUAACUUUUUUUUUUUGGUUUUUAGCUAAUUUUUCGAUUCUUCCAACUACAACUAGUAAUUUAAAGACUUUUUUAAGUUUGAAAAUUUUCAAUUCUGUUUCAAGAGUGUCCAUUGAGAUGUACUCCCCACUUGUUACCAAUUUUUGUAAGUUUCGCGUAACAUUAUAGUUUUCUGAGCUCCACGAAAAUUAAAAUUCGAUAAUAUUUUUAUUGCUUUUGAAAGAACCACACAUUGAAAUUUUUCCGAUUUUCAAAAAAUGUAAAUGCACAAAAAAAAAUCAAAAAAUCAAUAAUUUUAAAGAACCGAGUCCUUAACGGGAUCCGCGAUGACACGUGAAAAUCUCCGGCCAUUUUUCCGAAUGAUCAGCUUUUGAGAUAGUACUCCGAGCACACCGCCCGUGUCGAAUACCUGAAAAAUUGGCAAUUUUUUAUUUAAAAAUUUUUAUUACUAAAAGCGUGCCUAUUUAGUGUACUCCCGGCUUGUAACUAUCCAGAAAUCUGCGGGCCUAGCCAUGAUUACACUUAAAUGAAAGCUUAUUUAAUUUUAAACGCAUCUACAAUAAUGAUAGCCUAAUAGGCCCCGCCCACUUUAGGCUACACCCACAAACGUUACCUGGGUAACGACAUCCUGCGCCUCUUCCUGCGAUUUAUUCAUCAAAUUCAGCUGAGCUUUUAAUAAUCUCAAAUUCCACGUGAAAUUCUCUGCGGCACGUGUUGCUUUCUGUCCCUUAAGCCCCGCCUCCGCACAUAAUUUUGAUAGUUCUUCGUGGCAUUCCGAAAUUCGACGAAUUGAGUCCUCGAUCUGGAAAAAUUUAAAAAAAAUUGUGGUUUUUGCUCAAAUUUGAAACUAAAAUUUUACAGCCGGAAAUUAUCAUUUUCGGCAAAUUGUCAGGUUGCUGAUUGUCCGGAAAUUUUCAAUUCCGGCAAUUUACCGGCUUGCCGGUUUGCCGAUUUUCCGGAUUUUUCCAAUUCCGGCAAUUUUCCAGUUUGCCGAUUUGCCAAUUUGUGUGAAUUUUAGAAACAAAAAUCUUGAAAAUUUUAAGCCAAAAAUGAACAAAGUUGUAGGGGGUUAAAAUUUAAAACUUGAAAUUUUUUUUUCUAACUUCGCCAAAAACUAAAUUUUUGUAAAAACUCUAACAAUUUUCAGGCCCCCUUACUAACCAAUUGGAUAAAUCCAACUAACCUUUGAAAGCAACUGAUCCGACUGAGAAAGUGUUGUAACACAGUGUGCAAUGAGAUUCUUCAACUUGUUGAAUGAUCGCUGAAGUUGAUCCGGAAGUGUUCCCAUUGUGACAAUCGCCGGAUACUG